rnacentral:tRNA from 1 species
GCGCCGAUGGUCUAGUGGUAGAAUUCCUCGUUGCCAACGAGGCGGCCCGUGUUCGAUUCACGGUCGGCGCA